UUUUUUUUCCCCAAGGUUUCGAAAUAAUUUCUCCCCCUCACCCUCUCUCGUUUGUUCUCUGCCUUCGCCUCUCUCUCUCAUCACCCCCUCCUCUCCGCUCAUCCCUUCAGCUACCUCUUCCUACUCCCUUUCUCUCUCGGAUUCCGAAGAUUCAUGGUGGUAGAAUUGAUUCUAUGUGUUCACAGAUGCUCACUCGAUGCCGAUCGGAGGGGUUUGGGGCUUCUCUUGGGACUUUCUGAAUUAGGGUUUCUUGCUUGCUGCCGAGGAAAAGGCCGAGACUUGUGAAGAUAGAGAGCUUGCUAUUGACCAACGACCACCAGAGUAAGAUCUCUUCCGUUGGGCAGUCCGCAGACCAGUUCUUAUAGGUCUCCGGGAUUGAAAUUCUCUAAGCUAGUUUUUGAGGUAAAAUUCUGAUGGAAAGCUUAGGCUUGUUCUACUCUGUGCCCAUAUUUUGCUGUCAUUGCAUUGUCUUUGCCUCUUUAGUUACAUGUGAAGAAACUUGCAGUGUGUGUAUAAGUACAUGAAUAUAUCUAGUGUGAGAACAUCAGUUUUUGCCCUGCAGUAGGCGAGAAUUGGAAGCGAAGCCCUCUUCGCUGUGAUUCUAGAUCCAGUGACUUGUUUUUUCAUGGCAAGGUACUCGCAAAAGCAAGUGCUUAGAGUUGUUCGUGGCUCCAGCUUGGUUCUUGUAAAUUGGAUUACCAGCGGAUGAGAAGUAUGUGAUUUCGAUCUUUACAAGAGCGCUGACAACAGAGUCUUACCAUAUGGACAUCCUUUGUUUCUUGAUAGGUCACAAGUGCUGUUGGCAGCUUUCUUUCCAUGACAAGCUAAGCUCUCGGUGGAAGUAGGUCAGAAUAUAGUGGCGAAAGGCUUUUGUAACCAAAAAAUUAUGGUUCCCAAUGGUCGUUGCAAAGCCGUCAGAAGAGGUUGCUAGCGACCAAAUUUCAUUUUGGUCGCAAAAUGUGCUUCUUUCUGCGACUAAGAGACUUUAGUCACUAAUAGAAACCUUCGGCGACUAAUACAUUUGUUGCUACUACUAGUACAAAACAGUCGCCACUAAAUGGAAUUGGUUGCAAAUUCCCCAUUUUUGUGCAAAUAUUUGGAACCAAAUAUCAGUUAUUGCGACUAAAAUAUUAGUUGCAAAAUGCAUGAAUCUGCAACUAGAGUAUUUCUUUAUAUUAAAUGUCUGUUUGUAUCGAGAAUUGCAACAAAAGUUCUGUUAGUCGCAAAAAUGUACUUCAGCGACCAGGUGCUUGAUCACUAAAGCUCUUAUUUCUGAAUAUAUUGCGACCACUUGUCUGGUUGUUACUUGU